rnacentral:tRNA from 1 species
GCAGCAGGCUAGGCCGAUUGGUUACGCUUUCCGCUUUGUAAGCCGAUGAGCAUGGGUUCGAUUCCCAUCUGCUCCA